UAAGUAUAGCACUUUAUACCGUGAACUGCGAAUGGCUCAUUAAAUCAGUAUCGUUUAUUUGAUAGUACCUACUACUUGGAUAACCCGUGGUAAUUCUAGAGCUAAUACAUGCUAAAAACCCCGACUUCGGGAGGGGGUGUAUUUAUUAGAUAAAAAACCAAUGCCCUUUCGGGGCUCUUUGGUGAUUCAUGAUAACUUAACGGAUCGCAUGGCCUUGCGCCGGCGACGGUUCAUUCAAAUUUCUGCCCUAUCAACUUUCGAUGGUAAGGUAUUGGCUUACCAUGGUUUCAACGGGUAACGGGGAAUUAGGGUUCGAUUCCGGAGAGGGAGCCUGAGAAACGGCUACCACAUCCAAGGAAGGCAGCAGGCGCGCAAAUUACCCAAUCCCGACACGGGGAGGUAGUGACAAUAAAUACUGAUACAGGGCUCUUUUGGGUCUUGUAAUCGGAAUGAGUACAAUUUAAACCCCUUAACGAGGAACAAUUGGAGGGCAAGUCUGGUGCCAGCAGCCGCGGUAAUUCCAGCUCCAAUAGCGUAUAUUAAAGUUGUUGCAGUUAAAAAGCUCGUAGUUGAACCUUGGGCCUGGCUGGCCGGUCCGCCUCACCGCGUGUACUGGUCCGGCCGGGCCUUUCCUUCUGGAGAGCCGCAUGCCCUUCACUGGGCGUGUCGGGGAACCAGGACUUUUACUUUGAAAAAAUUAGAGUGUUCAAAGCAGGCCUUUGCUCGAAUACGUUAGCAUGGAAUAAUAGAAUAGGACGCGCGGUCCUAUUUUGUUGGUUUCUAGGACCGCCGUAAUGAUUAAUAGGGAUAGUCGGGGGCAUCAGUAUUCAAUUGUCAGAGGUGAAAUUCUUGGAUUUAUUGAAGACUAACUACUGCGAAAGCAUUUGCCAAGGAUGUUUUCAUUAAUCAGUGAACGAAAGUUAGGGGAUCGAAGACGAUCAGAUACCGUCGUAGUCUUAACCGUAAACUAUGCCGACUAGGGAUCGGGCGGUGUUUCAUUAUUGACCCGCUCGGCACCUUACGAGAAAUCAAAGUUUUUGGGU
rnacentral:rRNA from 1 species